rnacentral:rRNA from 1 species
CCCUUAGAUGUUCUGGGCGGCCCGCGCACUACAAUGGCGUGUGCAGCGAGUGCCGAAGUAGAGUUUUCCGAGGUAUUCUUGCAAUGCUCGUUUUGAUGGGGAUAGACCCUUGCAACUGUUGGUUUUGAACGAGGAAUUCCUUGUAAGCAUGGUUUAUCAUCCGACGCUGAAUGCGUCCCUGCCCUUUGUACACACCGCCCGUCGCUCCCACCGAUGAGUCGUCCGGUGAAGUUCGUAGACCUCGUGAUCGCGGAUCACUGGGGGAAGCAAAAUGAACCUCGCGGUUUAGAGGAAGGAGAAGUCGUAACA